GCCCCGGGCGGUGCUGCCAAUGAGUGCACCUUCUUGUGGGAAUAGCCACACCAAGUCCUACAGGCAAAGUUGAUGGAGCCCAUGAACAAUGUGAGAAGGACCUUAACCAGCAAGGCGGGACAAGCUAAACAGGCAGCUGCCCUUGGGCAUGAACUCCAAGAUGACCCAUCUCCACCCAUCCACAUCUCCAAAACCACUCACUGAGUUACUAACAACCGAAAUAUCCAAAAAGCUUUCAGUUAGGCUCGUCCUUGUUAAAAUGCUUUUUUAGAUAUUUACAACCUGUGAAAUAAAUGAAUCACAAGUUUUGCAAAGCAGAUUUUGACAAAUGGGAAGGGGGAAAGAGGUGAGAGGAAGAAAAUGUAUUUUGAGGACCCAUUAUGUGCCAAUUGCUUUGCCUGGGUGCUUUUUAUGUUUUUCUCAUUUAAAUCUCACAAAGCCCUUCUACGUAGGUCUUAGUUCCUGUGCUGGUUAUUUUCUGUUCACCAGCUUUCUUCAUUCUCUGUGCAUUCUUUCCUGCCCUGUGGAAUGUGUCUCCCAGGCUCCUGUUUCUGGUAAGGAUGUGCCAGUGGGAGACUGGUGUUAUAUCACGAGGUAAGAGAGAGAGAUUAAGGUAAUCUCUCCUUCUUCCCUCCAUGUUUUCAAACUGCAUUUCUGCCUGAAGCUUUUGUUCAUUAUAACCUCUUUAAUAUUUGACUCUUAAACUCAUUACUUUGAUAAGAAUUAAUUUUAAGAAAUGAAGAAUUGGCCUAGAGGGAGGAGAUUGGAGAGAAAGAUGACAGAUAGCUACCUGGGAGCUGAAGCACUUCCCUGGGAACCUUGAAACUCUCAGGGACUAUUCAGAAGGCUGGUGGGGGACCAUGCCACAUCACAUACAAGUUCAUCAAGCCAGAACCACGGGUAACCCAGGUUGGUGGCACGUGUCUCCCAACUUUCUCCCAAUUAGGCCAGUUUCCCUGGCUUCUAGCUUUGGGCAGUUUUCAUCUCUUUUCUUCAUUCAGAAGUAACAAACCUGAUGGGACCUAUAAGC
rnacentral:lncRNA from 1 species